rnacentral:rRNA from 1 species
UGGGGAAUAUUGGACAAUGGGCGAAAGCCUGAUCCAGCCAUGCCGCGUGUGUGAAGAAGGCCUUUUGGUUGUAAAGCACUUUAAGUGGGGAGGAAAAGCUUAUGGUUAAUACCCAUAAGCCCUGACGUUACCCACAGAAUAAGCACCGGCUAACUCUGUGCCAGCAGCCGCGGUAAUACGGAGGGUGCAAGCGUUAAUCGGAAUUACUGGGCGUAAAGCGCGCGUAGGUGGUUAUUUAAGUCAGAUGUGAAAGCCCCGGGCUUAACCUGGGAACUGCAUCUGAUACUGGAUAACUAGAGUAGGUGAGAGGGGAGUAGAAUUCCAGGUGUAGCGGUGAAAUGCGUAGAGAUCUGGAGGAAUACCGAUGGCGAAGGCAGCUCCCUGGCAUCAUACUGACACUGAGGUGCGAAAGCGUGGGUAGCAAACAGGAUUAGAUACCCUGGUAGUCCACGCCGUAAACGAUGUCUACCAGUCGUUGGGUCUUUUAAAGACUUAGUGACGCAGUUAACGCAAUAAGUAGACCGCCUGGGGAGUACGGCCGCAAGGUUA